rnacentral:tRNA from 1 species
GCCUGGCUGGCUCAGUCAGUAGAGCAUGGAAUUUUUCAUCUCAAGGUUAUGAGUUCAAGCCCCAUGUUGGGUA